UAGGGAAUCUUCGGCAAUGGGGGCAACCCUGACCGAGCAACGUCGCGUGAGUGAAGAAGGUUUUCGGAUCGUAAAGCUCUGUUGUAAGUCAAGAACGAGUGUGAGAGUGGAAAGUUCACACUGUGACGGUAGCUUACCAGAAAGGGACGGCUAACUACGUGCCAGCAGCCGCGGUAAUACGUAGGUCCCGAGCGUUGUCCGGAUUUAUUGGGCGUAAAGCGAGCGCAGGCGGUUUGAUAAGUCUGAAGUUAAAGGCUGUGGCUCAACCAUAGUUCGCUUUGGAAACUGUCAAACUUGAGUGCAGAAGGGGAGAGUGGAAUUCCAUGUGUAGCGGUGAAAUGCGUAGAUAUAUGGAGGAACACCGGUGGCGAAAGCGGCUCUCUGGUCUGUAACUGACGCUGAGGCUCGAAAGCGUGGGGAGCGAACAGGAUUAGAUACCCUGGUAGUCCACGCCGUAAACGAUGAGUGCUAGGUGUUGGAUCCUUUCCGGGAUUCAGUGCCACAGCUAACGCAUUAAGCACUCCGCCUGGGGAGUACGACCGCAAGGUUG
rnacentral:rRNA from 1 species